AGAGUUUGAUCCUGGCUCAGAACGAACGCUGGCGGCGUGCUUAACACAUGCAAGUCGAACGGGAUCCAGAGCUUGCUCUGGUGAGAGUGGCGCACGGGUGAGUAACGCGUGGAUAACCUGCCCUGGUAUCCGGAAUAACAUCUCGAAAGGGGUGCUAAUACCGGAUAAGCCUACGGAGCCCUCGGUCUCUGCAGGAAAAGGUGGCCUCUAUUUAUAAGCUACCGUAUCAGGAUGGGUCCGCGUACCAUUAGCUAGUUGGUGGGGUAAUGGCCUACCAAGGCGACGAUGGUUAGCUGGUCUGAGAGGAUGAUCAGCCACACUGGAACUGAGACACGGUCCAGACUCCUACGGGAGGCAGCAGUGGGGAAUUUUGCGCAAUGGGGGAAACCCUGACGCAGCAACGCCGCGUGAGUGAUGAAGGCUUUCGGGUCGUAAAGCUCUGUCAGAGGGGAAGAAAUGAGAUUGGCUAAUAUCCAAUUUUCUUGACGGUACCCUCAAAGGAAGCACCGGCUAACUCCGUGCCAGCCGCCGCGGUAAUUC
rnacentral:rRNA from 1 species